GGAUGUAGAAUGGCUCAAAAAUGUGAGGAAAUGGUGUGUCAUACCCACAUACUCUUGAUAUAGGAGCCUCUAGGUUCAGGAAACAUUCUUCCUGCAGAGAAGAACACAGAUAGAUGGGAAGAGCACAUGU